UACGUAGGGGGCAAGCGUUGUCCGGAUUUAUUGGGCGUAAAGAGCGUGUAGGCGGCCCGGUAAGUCCGCUGUGAAAGUCCAGGGCUCAACCCUGGGAUGCCGGUGGAUACUGUCGGGCUCGAGUCCGGAAGAGGCGAGUGGAAUUCCUGGUGUAGCGGUGAAAUGCGUAGAGAUGCGGAAGAACACCAGUGGCGAAGGCGGUCAACUGGCCUCAUAUUGACACUCAGACGCGAAGGCAUGGGUAGCGAAACGGG
rnacentral:rRNA from 1 species